rnacentral:rRNA from 1 species
CUCAGUAACACGUAGUCAACAUGCCCAAAGGACGUGGAUAACCUCGGGAAACUGAGGAUAAACCGCGAUAGGCCAAGGUUUCUGGAAUGAGCCAUGGCCGAAAUCUAUAUGGCCUUUGGAUUGGACUGCGGCCGAUCAGGCUGUUGGUGAGGUAAUGGCCCACCAAACCUGUAACCGGUACGGGCUUUGAAAGAAAGAGCCCGGAAAAUGGCACUGAAACAAGGGCCCAGGGCCUAUGGAGCGCCAGCAGGGCGCGAAACCUUCUGCAAUAGGCGAAAGCCUGACAGGGUUACCUCUGAAGUGAAUGCCCCCCUAAAGGUAUCUUUUGCGCACCUCUAAAAAUGGUGUAGAAUAAGGGGUGGGCCAAUUCUGUUUGUCACCCGCCGCGUUAAUACCAGCACCCCGGAGUGGUUGGGACGAUUAUUGGCCUUAAAGCAUCGGUAGCCGUUUCUGCAAGUCUUCCGUUAAAUCCACCUGCUCAACAGAUGGGCUGCGGAGGAUACUAUAGAGCUAGGAGGCGGGAGAGGCAAACGGUACUCAGUGGGUAGGGGUAAAAUCCAUUGAUCCACUGAAGACCACCAGUGGCGAAGGCGGUUUGCCAGAACGCGCUCGACGGUGAGGGAUGAAAGCUGGGGGAGCAAACCGGAUUAGAUACCCGGGUAGUCCCAGCUGUAAACGAUGCAGACUCGGUGAUGGGUUGGCUUCGGGCCAAUCCAGUGC